rnacentral:ncRNA from 1 species
AACUAUAGAGGCGCGGGUUUGAUUAGUACCCUAUUUCCAGUCUUGCCACAGACAAUAUGGGAUUGUGGGAAAGGCAAAACCGCCGAAGGGGCUUUCCGGCAAAAGGCUUCUGGGUGCCGUUGCAAACAGCGCGGCAACUGUCAUCAUUCAGUAUGAUGGAGUGCUAUCGGU